UACGUAGGGGGCAAGCGUUGUCCGGAUUUAUUGGGCGUAAAGGGCGCGUAGGCGGCCUGACAAGUGGAAGGUGAAAUCCCUCGGCUUAACCGAGGAACUGCCCUCCAAACUGUUUGGCUUGAGACCGGGAGAGGUGAGUGGAAUUCCCAGUGUAGCGGUGAAAUGCGUAGAUAUUGGGAGGAACACCAGUGGCGAAGGCGGCUCACUGGACCGGUACUGACGCUGAGGCGCGAAAGCGUGGGGAGCAAACGGG
rnacentral:rRNA from 1 species